rnacentral:tRNA from 1 species
GCCUGGGUGGCUCAGUCAGUUAAGCAUCUGACUUUGGCUCAGGUCAUGAUCUUGAAGUUUGUGGGUUUGAGCCCCACAUCGGGCU